rnacentral:rRNA from 1 species
CCGCGUGAGGUGAUGACGGCCUUCGGGUUGUAAACCUCUUUUAUUAGGGAAGAAGGGAGCUUGCUCUUGACGGUACCUGCAGAAAAAGCACCGGCUAACUACGUGCCACCAGCCGCGGUAAUACGUACGGUGCAAGCGUUGUCCGGAAUUAUUGGGCGUAAAGAGCUCGUAGGCGGUUUGUCGCGUCUGCUGUGAAAACCCGAGGCUCAACCUCGGGCCUGCAGUGGGUACGGGCAGACUAAAGUGCGGUAAGGGAGAAUGGAAUUCCUGGUGUAGCGGUGGAAUGCGCACAUUUCAAGAGGAACACCGAUGGCGAAAGCUGUUCUCUGGGCCGUAACUGACGCUCAGGAGCGAAAGCGUGGGGAGCGAACAGGAUUAAAUACCCUGGUAGUCCACGCCGGAUACGUUGGGCGCUAGAUGUGGGGACCUUUCCACGGUUUCCGUGUCGCAACUAACGCAUUAAGCGCCCCGCCUGGGGAGUACGGCCGCAAGGCUAAGACUCAAAGGAAUUGACGGGGGCCCGCACAAGCGGCGGAGCAUGCGGAUUAAUUCGAUGCAACGCGAAGAACCUUACCAAGGCUUGACAUAUGCUAGAACGGGCCAGAAAUGGUC